rnacentral:autocatalytically_spliced_intron from 1 species
CUUGCGAAGUGAUGACGGUUUAUUCCAUUGGGAAAUAAAUAAAAAAUCUGAUGUUUUAAAAGUUAUUGAAAUCUUUACAACAACAUAUCCUUCAAAGUUAGCAAAAAUGAAGGAAAGAAUGCAGAAUGUGAGACGAACCCUCAACGACUAUACACCAAGAGUCCGGUGAAGAUCGGAUUAUGAUAUAGUCUGAACCCUGCAGCGAUGUAGGG